CCUACGGGUGGCAGCAGUGAGGGAUAUUGCACAAUGGGGGGAACCCUGAUGCAGCGACGCCGCGUGGGUGAAGAAGCGCCUCGGCGCGUAAAGCCCUGUCAGCAGGGAAGAAAAUGACGGUACCUGAAGAAGAAGCCCCGGCUAACUACGUGCCAGCAGCCGCGGUAAUACGUAGGGGGCAAGCGUUAUCCGGAUUUACUGGGUGUAAAGGGGGCGCAGACGGCUGUGCAAGCCAGGAGUGAAAGCCCGGGGCUCAACCCCGGGACUGCUCUUGGAACUGCGUGGCUGGAGUGCAGGAGGGGCAGGCGGAAGUCCUGGUGUAGCGGUGAAAUGCGUAGAUAUCAGGAGGAACACCGGUGGCGAAGGCGGCCUGCUGGACUGCAACUGACGUUGAGGCCCGAAAGCGUGGGGAGCAAACAGGAUUAGAUACCCCAGUAGUC
rnacentral:rRNA from 1 species